GUGCGCGCGCGUCCCGGGUGCCGCGCGCCCUCUCCUGCACAGCUGCGGUGCGCCCAGCCGCCCGCCAGAGGCUCGGCUCGCGCGGCGCGGCCGCUGCGACUUCCUGGAGUUCUGCCUACCGGGUGCGCGGGCGGGUGUGUGAGAGAAGGCGAGGGGAGCCGCAGGGUGGGAGAGGAGGGAGUCCCGGCGGGAGGGCGGGGUAGAGGCUGGCGGGAGGGGGGCUUCACGGAGCUCCAGCCAGGGCCGCGGUGCGCCUGCACGUCACGGCUACUCAAACCCAAGCACGUCCCGAAAGCGGUAUUUUCUGCGUCUGGGAGGUUUUUGCAUCCUCAGUUCCCACCGCUGGGGCUGGCGGCGACCAACUGUAAGAGAAACUCACUGGGAGGCGAGGCAGGGGGGUGCGGAGGAUGGGAAGGCGACUCUGAAGGGUGGGAAGUGAAUGCUGGACUUGAUCGUCUUUCUCUGUCUUUCAGCGCGGACCUGUCGCAGCCAGAGAGCUGUCAUUUUAGCACCGGGAUUCAGAAUUGAUCCAGUCCGCAGCGGAGGGGGCACAUCCCAGCUCCCGAGCUGCUGAGUGUCUCUGGCUGGAACAAUAGUAGUUUUUCUCUGCGAGGCUGCAAUUAACAUCUUAUUUGUUCUGGCUCCAUACAGGCUUUGUCAGGAUCGCGGUGCGGCGACCGAGGUUGGGCUCUUGCAUUGCUUUCUGCUUGGCAAUGGAAUCAUGGUUUCGGGGUCUAAACUUUUGUUUCAUUUUGUAGUCUUAAUGCAUCUGAUUCUUUUUCAAGUUUCCCUAGUAACAGGUUUGGGGACGGGGUGGGAAGAAACGAGAAAAGGGGUGAAGAGAAACAACCAGAUUAUAUAGAAAGGGAAAAGGGAUAAGUUUCCCCACCUUUUAAUCUAUCUGCCUGUCUAUCUAUCUAUUAUCUAUCUAUCAGUCAUUUUGCCUCCUGGACAGUUGGCUGACGAAGUGUCUGAUAAACCAGCUUCAGAUACAUGCUACAAAAGGUCAUUCGCCUCCUGAUUAUGUCUCUACUUGUAAACGCAGUUGGUGGUUUGCAAAACAAGUGCUAAAAUAGUGCAAUGAUGUGGUGGGAGGAAACCACCAUGGGCAAUUCAUAUAAAGUGCUGGAAUCUUCAUAAGGGCUACUGAGCUGGCCUGAUGAUGAUCCUGCUGAGAUAUAUUUAUAGCAGAUGAUUUGUGGAUGAUAACUACGCCAAGCAAGACACGGUCUCCAGUAACCCCAGGCUCGUCUGAUUUCCUCAGGGGAUUAUAAUCAAGAAUCAGGAAAAGAGCCCUAUAUGAACAGUCUGGUCUCUGGACACGAACAACAGCACAAUCCAAAGGCAAAGCAAGGAAGGAACCACUUUGUUUCAUGUCUGCAAGAUGCUCCAUAUAGAAAGCAUUGCUGACAUGUUGACCCAACAGCAAAAAGAGAGCAGCAGUUCACACACCCUCAGCUCUCUGUCCUUUCGUUUCUAUUGAUGUUGGUCCACUUUUAUGAUUUAAUACAUAUUAAAUUCACCAUUUCAAAUUAU
rnacentral:lncRNA from 1 species